rnacentral:rRNA from 1 species
GAUGAACGCUGGCGGCGUGCCUAAUACAUGCAAGUCGAGCGAACGGACGAGAAGCUUGCUUCUCUGAUGUUAGCGGCGGACGGGUGAGUAACACGUGGAUAACCUACCUAUAAGACUGGGAUAACUUCGGGAAACCGGAGCUAAUACCGGAUGAUAUUUUGAACCGCAUGGUUCAAAAGUGAAAGACGGUCUUGCUGUCACUUAUAGAUGGAUCCGCGCUGCAUUAGCUAGUUGGUAAGGUAACGGCUUACCAAGGCAACAAUGCAUAGCCGACCUGAGAGGGUGAUCGGCCACACGGGAACUGAGACACGGUCCAGACUCCUACGGUAGGCAGCGGUAGGGAAUCUUCCGCAAGGGGGGAAAGCCUGACGGAGCAACGCCGCGUGAGUGAUGAAGGUCUUCGGAUGGUAGAACUCUGUUAUUAGGGAAGAACAUAUGUGUAAGUAACUGUGCACAUCUUGACGGUACCUGAACAGAAAGCCACGGCUAACUACGUG